GACAGAGGGUGCAAACGUUUGUUCGGAAUUACUGGGCGUAAAGCGCGUGUAGGCUGCUCAGAAAGUUGGAUGUGAAAGCCCUGGGCUUAACCUAGGAAGUGCAUUCAAAACUACUGAGCUGGAGUCCUGGAGAGGAAGGCGGAAUUCUCGGUGUAGAGGUGAAUUCGUAGAUAUCGAGAGGAACACCGGUGGCGAAGGCGGCCUUCUGGACAGUGACUGACGCUGAGACGCGAAAGCGUGGGGAGCAAACAGG
rnacentral:rRNA from 1 species